UACGUAGGGGGCGAGCGUUGUCCGGAUUUAUUGGGCGUAAAGCGUGUGUAGGCGGCCAGGUAGGUCUGCUGUGAAAACUCGAGGCUCAACCUCGAGAUGUCGGCAGAAACCCUCUGGCUAGAGUCCGGAAGAGGAGAGUGGAAUUCCCGGUGUAGCGGUGAAAUGCGCAGAUAUCGGGAAGAACACCCGUGGCGAAGGCGGCUCUCUGGGACGUUACUGACGCUGAGACGCGAAAGCGUGGGGAGCGAACAGG
rnacentral:rRNA from 1 species